CGCGACCUCAGGUCAGACGGGAUUACCUACUGAGUUUAAGCAUAUCAGUAAAUGGAGGAAAAGAAACGUGCUAGGAUUCCCCUAAUAAUGACGAGCGAACUAGGAAAAACCAAGCAUGAGAAUUAGGCACCAUUGGCAGAUGAAUUGUAGUCUAAAGAAGCGUCAUCUACGGCGGACUGGGCUUAAGUCCCUUGGAAAAGGGCGCUGGAGAGGGUGAGAGCUCGUCGUGCCCGGACCCUAUUGUACCACGAGGUGCUAUUUAAGAGUCGAGUUGUUUGGAAAUGUAGCCCUAAUUGGGCAGUAAAUUUCGUCUAAGGCUAAAUACGGGCGAGAGACCGAUAGUAAACAAGUACCUCGAGGGAAAGAUGAAAAGUACUUUGAAAUGAGAGUUAAAGAGUGCUUUAAAUUAAUGGGUAGGAAGUGAAUGGGGGCCGGCGAUGCAUCCCGGUCAGAUGUAGAACAGCGAGAACUGAUCCGCCGUGUGGCUCGAGGCGAGGAUCGACACGGGUCGUGGCAACGGCCCAAGCUCGGUCUUUUGAUAUGUCCGAGAAGAUAUCGUCGCCUUGGUCGUGGGAUUCAGCACACACCGUCUGAGCAUGCUUGGCACUUGCGGGCUCCCCAUUUGGCUUGUCUUGAAACACGGACCAAGGGCUAGAAAACUCGUAAGGCGUAAGGAAAUUAAUUGGUGGGAUCCCUCACGGGUGCACCACUGAUCAAUCUUGAUCUUUUGAGAAGGGUUCGAGUGAGAGCAUGCUUGUCGGGACUUGAAAGAUGGUGAAAUAUACCUGAGCAGGGUGAAGCCGGAGGAAACUCUGGUGGAGGCCCGCAGCAAUACUAACGUACAAAUCGUUUAUUUAACUUGGGUAUAGAUGAGAAAGACUAAUCGAACCAUCUAGUAGUUGGUUCCCUCCAAAGUUUCCCUCAGGAUAGCUGGAGCUCUUAGCGAGUUCUAUAGGGUAAAGCCAAUGAUUAGAGGCACCGGGGACGCAACGUCCUCGACCUAUUCUCAAACUUUAAAUAGGUAGGAUGGUGCGGUUGCUUCAUUGAGCUGCGCCAUGAAAUCGAGAGCUCUAAGUGGGCCAUUUUUGGUAAGCAGAACUGGCGAUACGGGAUGAACAUGAAGUCAGGUUACGGUGCCCAACUGUGUGUUAACCUAGAACCUACAAAGGGUGUUAGUUGAUUAAGACAAUAGAACAGUGGUCAUGAAAGUUGAAAUUCGCUAAAGAGUGUGUAACAACUCACCUACCAAUCAACUAGCAUCGAAAAUGGAUGGAGCUUAAGCACGUGACCUAUACCCGGCCGUCGGGGCAAGGGCCAAGCCACGAUGAGUAAAAGGGCGCGGCGAUCAUCGUAAAACCCGGGCCACGAUCCCGGGUAGAGUGGCCGUCGGUGCAGAUCUUAGUGGUAGCAGCAGAACUUUGAAGGCCGAAGAGGGGAAAGGUUCCAUGUGAACAGAACUUGCACAUGGGUUAGUCGAUCCUAAGAGACUGGGAAAGCCCGUCCGAUAUCACGUCCAACCUGAGCUUCGAAAGAGAAUCAGGUUGAAAUUUUUGCACCGGGAUGUGGCGGCUAACAGCAACAUUAGAGAGUCCAGAAAUGUCAGUGUCGACCUCAGGAAGAGUUAUCUUUUCUGUUUAACGGCUUGUCCACCCUGGAAAUUGCUCAGCUAGAGGUAGGGUCCAACGGUCAGAAGAGCACCACACAUCGUGCAGUGUUUGGUGUGCCAUUGGCGGCCCUUGAAAAUUUAGAAGACCGAGUGUCGUCCACGUCCGGUCGUACUCAUAACCACAUCAGGUCUCUAAGGUGAAUAGCCUCUGGUCAAUGGAACAAUGUAGGCAAGAGAAGUCGGUAAAAUAGAUCCAUAACCUCGGGAAAAGGAUUGGCUCUUAGGGUUGGGCACGAGGGUCCCAGUCCCGAACUUAUUGGAUGUCAUUGCACUACUCGAGCUGCACCCAAGGCGAGAGCAGUUCACCAUGUGCCGGUCGGGGGAUAGAUAGGGAACAGCUCUAUCGGGGGCUUUCCCCAGAUGACGAACAGUCGACUCAGAAUUGGAACAGAUAAGGGGAAUAUGAUUGUUUUAGUAAAACAAAGCAUUGCGAUGGUCCUUGCGGAUGCUCAGGCAAUGUAAUUUCUGCCCAGUGUUCUGAAUGUCAAAGUGAAGAAAUUCAACCUAGCGCAGGUAAACGGUGGGACUAACUAUGACUCUCUUAAGGUAGCCAAAUGCCUCGUCAUCUAAUUAAUGAUGUAUAUGAAUAGAUUAACGAGAUUUUCACUAUCCCUAUCUACUAUCCAGCAAAACCACGACCAAAGGAAUAGGCUUGGCAGAAUCAGUGGGGAAAGAAGACCCUGUUGAGCUUAACUUUAGUCUGACUUUGUGAAAUGACUUGAGAGGUGUGGGAUAAGUUGGAGCUCUCGGGCGAAAUUGAAAUACCACUACUUUUAAUGUUAUUUUACAUAAUCCUUGAAUCGAGGCAGGGUACGACCCCUUUUUUUCGACCCAAGGCCGGCUUCGGCCGAUUGAUCUGAGUGAAAGACAUUGUCAGGUUGGGAGUUUGGCUGGGGCGGCACAUCUGUUAAAAGAUAAAGUAGGGUCCUAAGAUGAGCUUAACGAGAAAAGAAAUUGUGUGUGGAACAAAAGGGUAAAAAACCGUUUCAUUCUGAUUUCCAGUACGAAUAGAAACUAUGAAAGCAUGGCUUAUCGAUCCUUUAAACCUUCGGAAUUUGAAGCUAGAGGUGUCAAAAAAGUUACCACAGGGAUAACUGGCUUGUGGCGGCCAAGCGUUCAUAGCGAUGUUGCUUUUUGAUCCUUCGAUGCCGGCUUUUCCUAUUAUUGUGAAGCAGAAUUCACCAAGUGUUGGAUUGCUUGCCCACUAAUAGAGAACGUGUUUUGGGUUUAGACCAUCAUGAGACAGGUUAGUUUUACCCUACUGAUGGCCACGUCGCAAUCAACCUAGUACAAGAGGAACCGUUGAUUCGCACAAUUGGUAAUCGCGCUUGGUUGAAAAGUCAGUGGCUUGAAGCUACCGUACGCUAGAUUAUGACUUAACGCCUCUGAGUCAGAAUCUGGGCUAGAACUGACGCACACGCCUGUCGUCUGAUUGCUGUCCUGCAGUAGGGGCCUCUAGCCACCAAGGGCACAUGUCGUAGGUGCAGCAACUGCCGCGGACAAGUCGCGAGUGCCUCCUUGGAGCGUAAUUCCACCGAACGAUGGGUAGAAUCCUUUGCAGAUGACUUAAAUACACGACGGGUUAUUGUAACUGGUAGAGUGGCCUUGCUGCUACGAUCCACUGAGAUUCAACCCUUUGUCGCCUCGAUUCAA
rnacentral:rRNA from 1 species